AUGGAUCCUCCCACUACGAUAGUGACCCUAAACAAACAAGUUGAAAUCACUUUCCCUUUUGGUUGGUUUGACUUCGAACCAACGCACACACCAGACCAGACAUGUAGAGUCCUAUCAACCACGACAACCAUAUCAUCAUGUCACAAACCCGUAAUUUUUUAAUGCCCCAAACGACAUUCUGUUUUGGCGUUUUGUCUCUCCACUAA
rnacentral:lncRNA from 1 species